CCGGGUGAGUAACACGUAUCCAACCUGCCGUCUGCUCUUGGCCAGCCUUCUGAAGGAAGAUUAAUCCAGGAUGGGAUCAUGAGUUCACAUGUCCGCAUGAUUAAAGGUAUUUUCCGGUAGACGAUGGGGAUGCGUUCCAUUAGAUAGUAGGCGGGGUAACGGCCCACCUAGUCAACGAUGGAUAGGGGUUCUGAGAGGAAGGUCCCCCACAUUGGAACUGAGGCACGGUCCAA
rnacentral:rRNA from 1 species